rnacentral:lncRNA from 1 species
CUCAAGGUGUGGCUCAUUUAAACCUAGCAUCUCUGAUUGCUUACUCGUUUAACACUUGUGUGCUUGCUUGCGAACAACUGCAAUGUUCCUUCUGCUUUUUUCCUUCCUUGUACCUCGUUGUGCUCUAUGAGCUCUUGAAUGUUCUGAGAGAGUAUGGUCACUCAUAGUGACAUCCAUGCUGAUCCAUGCAAGCAGUUCUGGGUCACCCAGCAGCGUUCUCUGCGCCAGGAUCAGCCUUUUGGAGAGUGGCCCUUUCCCUCUCACAGACUGCGUGGCUGAAGAAGCCCGUUCCUGCAGGGUUGGACCAUAGCCUGCUGCAAACAGCCCGCUGCAGCCCCUGCCUCCAGGAGCCUUCAGCCACCCAUGCCCUGCCCUUUGCUUUGUGGCCACUGCUCAUUGAACUGAGAGCUGAGGGACGUGGUUGGAUGAGUUACAGCCGGAGGUGUGGGUGAGCCCAAGAGGAAGAUGAAGCUGUGGAAACUGGGGCGUUUUUAAGGAGGCUGAAGGACAGCAGUGAUAGGCACCAGCACCAAGCCUGGCUUAGGUGUAGUGACGCAGCUUGCUGGAACCAGAAGAUGCCAUAAAACCCAAGGGAAGAAUUCCCAUCAGACUCAAUGGGCUUUUGUUUUUUACCUGUUGUGCAAAGGCUCAAAUUGUCUGUGUGUGAAACAAGAGCCCAGACCCCACUGGUGUCAAGGUUAAAACAUUCAGAUCAACAAUUAUUUCUCCUGAAGCACCCUGGUCCCAGCCCCAUAUACCUGGGCCCGGGGCAAGCUUGGGGCUGACAUGUGAUCCAGCCCAAAGGGUUCAGACUGCAGAACUGCUUUGGAGUGUGUGGUUAUUUUGGGUGAUGUGAAGCAGAACCCAUCCUGUGCUCAUCCCAGCUGCUCCCUGCUGGGACCGUGCUUGUCUUGGGCUGCUGGAAGAUGAGCAUUUCCAAUAUGCAAUUCAUUUCAGUGCUGUUCCAGAGGCUGCUGGAAUGUGAGACACUUUCAGAGUAUUUUAAUAAAUAUAAA